UACGGGGGGGGCAAGCGUUGUUCGGAAUUACUGGGCGUAAAGGGCUCGUAGGCGGCCAACUAAGUCAGACGUGAAAUCCCCAGGCUUAACCUGGGAAUGGCAUUUGGGACUGCAAGGCUUGAGUGCGGCAGAGGAGACUGGAAUUCCUGGUGUAGCAGUGAAAUGCGUAGAUAUCAGGAGGAAUACCGAUGGCGAAGGCAGGUCUCUGGGCUGACACUGACGCUCAUGCACGAAAGCGUGGGGAGCAAACAGG
rnacentral:rRNA from 1 species